CUGGCGGCGUGCCUAACACAUGCAAGUCGAGCGAGGAGAUCCUUCGGGAUGAUCCUAGCGGCGGACGGGUGAGUAACACGUGGGCAACCUGCCUCAUAGAGAGGAAUAGCCUUCCGAAAGGGAGAUUAAUACCUCAUAACAUUGCAGUUUCGCAUGAAACAGCAAUUAAAGGAGCAAUCCGCUAUGAGAUGGGCCCGCGGCGCAUUAGCUAGUUGGUGAGGUAACGGCUCACCAAGGCGACGAUGCGUAGCCGACCUGAGAGGGUGAUCGGCCACAUUGGGACUGAGACACGGCCCAGACUCCUACGGGAGGCAGCAGUGGGGAAUAUUGCACAAUGGGGGAAACCCUGAUGCCAGCAACGCCGCGUGAGUGAUGACGGCCUUCGGGUUGUAAAGCUCUGUCUUCAGGGACGAUAAUGACGGUACCUGAGGAGGAAGCCACGGCUAACUACGUGCCAGCCGCCGC
rnacentral:rRNA from 1 species